rnacentral:rRNA from 1 species
UCCAGACUCCUACGGGAGGCAGCAGUGGGGAAUAUUGCACAAUGGGGGAAACCCUGAUGCAGCAACGCCGCGUGAGUGAAGAAGUAUUUCGGUAUGUAAAGCUCUCUCAGCAGGGAAGAAGAUGACGGUACCUGAGGAAUAAGCCACGGCUAACUACGUGCCAGCAGCCGCGGUAAUACGUAGGGGGCAAGCGUUAUCCGGAUUUACUGGGUGUAAAGGGAGCGUAGACGGCAGCGCAAGUCUGGAGUGAAAUGCCGGGGCUCAACCCCGGGACUGCUCUUGGAACUGCGUGGCUGGAGUGCAGGAGGGGCAGGCGGAAUUCCUGGUGUAGCGGUGAAAUGCGUAGAUAUCAGGAGGAACACCGGUGGCGAAGGCGGCCUGCUGGACUGCAACUGACGUUGAGGCCCGAAAGCGUGGGGAGCAAACAGGAUUAGAUACCCCAGUAUC